AGCAGCCGCGGUAAUUCCAGCUCCAAUAGCGUAUAUUAAAGUUGUUGCAGUUAAAAAGCUCGUAGUUGAAUUUCGGGAUCAAUAUUUCGGUCAUGCCGUUGGUAUGCACUGUUAUCAUUGAUUUCUCACCUUCUAGAGAACCGUAAUGCCAUUAAUUUGGUGUUACGGGGAAUUAGGACUGUUACCUUGAAAAAAUUAGAGUGUUUAAAGCAGGCUCACGCUUGAAUACAUUAGCAUGGAAUAAUGAAAUAGGACAUCCGAUUCUAUUUUGUUGGUUUCUAGGAUCGAUGUAAUGAUUAAUAGGGAUAGUUGGGGGCAUUAGUAUUCAAUUGUCAGAGGUGAAAUUCUUGGAUUUAUUGAAGACUAACUACUGCGAAAGCAUUUGCCAAGGAUGUUUUCAUUAAUCAAGAACGGAAGUUAGGGGAUCGAAGACGAUCAGAUACCGUCGUAGUCUUAACCAUAAACUAUGCCGACUAGGGAUCGGAUGAUGUUAAUUUUUUAAUGACACA
rnacentral:rRNA from 1 species